UACGUACCGUCCAAACGUUAUUCGGAAUUACUGGGCUUAAAGGGUACGUAGGCGGCGCUGUUAGUCGGGUGUGAAAUCCCUCGGCUCAACCGAGGAACCGCGCCCGAUACUGCAGUGCUUGAGGGAGACAGAGGUAAGCGGAACUGAUGGUGGAGCGGUGAAAUGCGUUGAUAUCAUCAGGAACACCGGUGGCGAAAGCGGCUUACUGGGUCUCUUCUGACGCUGAGGUACGAAAGCUAGGGGAGCGAAGGGG
rnacentral:rRNA from 1 species